rnacentral:rRNA from 1 species
CUGCUGCCUUCCGUAGGAGUCUGGGCCGUGUCUCAGUCCCAGUGUGGGGGGCCUUCCUCUCAGAACCCCUACGCAUCGUCGCCACGGUGGGCCGUCACCCCGCCGUCUAGCUAAUGCGCCGCAUGCCCAUCCGCCACCGGAUCGCUCCUUUGGCCACCGGAGGAUGCCCUCCGGUGGCGUCACGGGGUAUUAGGCCGCGUUUCCGCGGGUUAUCCCCCUGUGGCGGCCAGGUUGCAUACGUGUUACUCACCCGUGCGCCGGUCGCCCGGG